GUCUACAUUAUGAAGGGGACAGACACCAGGUCUACAGACACCAGGUCUACAUUAUGAAGGGGACAGACACCAGGUCUACAGACACCAGGUCUACAUUAUGAAGGGGGACAGGACACCAGGUCUACAUAUUGAAGGGGACAGACACCAGGUCUACAGACACCAGGUCUACAUUAUGAAGGGGACAGACACCAGGUCUACAUUAUGAAGGGGACAGACACCAGGUCUACAUUAUG